GACGAACGCUGGCGGCGUGGAUUAGGCAUGCAAGUCGAACGGUAGAGACCCUUCGGGGUCUUGAGAGUGGCGAACGGGUGAGUAACACGUAGGUAAUCUACCCUCAAAUCGGGGACAACCCAGGGAAACUUGGGCUAAUACCGGAUGCGAGCAUCCUUCGGGGUGUUUGAAAGAUGGCUUCGGCUGUCGUUUGAGGAUGAGCCUGCGCUCUAUUAGUUAGUUGGUGGGGUAACGGCCUACCAAGGCGAUGAUAGAUAGGCGGCCUUAACGGGUGGUCGCCCACACUGGGAUUGAGAUACGGCCCAGACUCCUACGGGAGGCAG
rnacentral:rRNA from 1 species